AUGCAAGAUCUAAGGGUACCAACUCAGUUUCAAAUGCUCUACGACAAGCACAAGGGUAUUUUUGCAGCAGAGGUGGAUGGUGUAGUAGGCAAGUUUGGACAGUGUUUAAAGGGAUUGCAGUGCAACCGAAUGGCCGCUCUCCUUCGUGAUGUUGGAGACGCCAUCACAGCUACCAAUGAGCCCAACUUUUCCUUUGAAGCACCUAUCAUGGACGAAUGUCGCGGAAAAGAGAAUGAUGCUAAAGCUGCAAAUGCCGACAUUGGUGCUGAAGCUCAAGCUCAAGGUACAACACCUAGCAUCAACAAGGAUGAAGUCACCGGAUUGAACCUAGAAGUUGCAACAGAGGCUGCGGAAACUCGUGAGCAACAAAGAGUGAGUUUCGAGAUUGAAGGCAACGCCUCACCUCGCAGCCCCCCACUCUUCUAUGAUGCACCCAGGAGUGCGACAGCCGGCAUUUGGGACGACGAGCCAUCCUGUGAGUUGUUCCCAAAGGGCUCCGAAGACUAUGAGAUGAUGCAUUCCACGGAUGAGCCUACAAUUAAGAAGAGCACAGUCAGUCCCAUCUAUGCAAACAUCCCCGUGUUUCCUGUUUCAGACGAUGAUGACAGCCCAACUCCUAAGAUGGUCGCUAUAGAAGAGCAUUUUGCUGAUGCAAGCAGUGGCCCUAGCACACAUGACAAGAACACUAGGAAGAAGAGGAUGGCCAAAGUUCCGGCCAUAAAAAAUACCAGGGCAAAGAAGCAAAAGGUCGACAAGGCUGCAGAAAUGUAUGAGAAGUUUGUAAAACAUGGGAAACCAUUGAGGAAAUCACAACCCAAUGAACAAGUGACACCUUUCAUCAAGCUAGGUGGAUUUUUCAUUGGAUACAAGAAAUUCCUUGUAUGCUUCAAGCCUCGCGGGGAUAUGAAUGAUGAGGUUAUGUCCCUAUGUAUCGAGAUGAACAACCUCGCAUCCCGUGUAGCAAAAGAAAGGGAUGUGAAGAAAUACAUGUUCUCAGUCCACGCGGGGAUCCUACUAAAACAAGACCCAUCAACCUUCCAACCAGCAAAACUCAUGGCUGAGCUUGAAAGGGCUAUGAAAAUGUUCAAGGUUCAAAAGUUUGACCUCCUCUUUUUCACAAUUGUGCAUGAUCGCCAUUGGAUAGUUGUUUGCACAAACUUGCUUCACAAGCAGUGGAAUGUAUUUGACUCAAUCCAUUCAAAAGGAAAACAAUCUCCUUUGAAGAAGCAAGCCAAUAACCUGAUCACAAACUUUGCAACCCUCGCACAAGAGUGUAGCGAAUUCAAUGUCAAUGUUGGAUCCUUCGCCCGUGUUGACCUAGAGGAUUACCCAAAGCAAGAUACCCUAUGUGAUUGUGGCUUUUUUUGGGCUCAAAUAUGUGGAGAACUAUGA
rnacentral:rRNA from 1 species